UGAACUGUUACAGGUGCUGUACAAGGUGGCCCACACCGAGUCCUGUAAGAGAGACAUGGCGGCUGACUGUCAUGAGAAGUUUGCUGAGCACAUGUUGAAGGCACAUGGGACACAUCACCAAUGAGGACUGACCCCUACACUGACCACUGGAACUACUGUACACGUCGACUGACCCGCCAGCAGUGUUACACCAGGCUUACCAAGCCGUUCAGUGAUCAGUGGCCGGUCUCACAUCAACAAAGACAUUAACUACGUAACGCUUGCCGUGUAACACAAUUUGUAGAAGGACCUACAUUUACUAAUAUUUCCAUAGGAAAUAAUCAAAACUUUAAUAGUGUCAUACUAGACUACAUAACAUAACUUAUAUCUGUACACUUCAUACAGUACUGAUUUUAUAUCUUUUAUUUCUUUCUACACAGCUAUUUGCCAGCUGUGAAUGAAAAUUGAAUUGUUUAAACAAUAUUCUAUAUAUUUAUUUUGCUACGUAUAUUUGGGGGACAUCAUUGGGUCUUGUAUGUCGAAAAUAUCAAUGAAAAUGACAUUUCUUAUGGCAUCAAAAUUGAACCACAGAAAUGAUGAAAUGAAGAUUUAUCUUGAUAAUUAAAACAUGUCACCUUUUACUAUGUAGGUGGCACAAGGGUUUAGCACAUAGGACACACCUUUUUCAUGCAAUGGAAUUCUAUUUCUGGACACUACUGUAUUGUAUUCUUACAAGUGUUUUUGGAUCACACUGUCAAGUCAUUUGGUUAUAAAGUUUUGGCGAAAUAUUCCUGGUAAUUACACCAAUUGUCAGUCAGCAAAGCAUUUAUAACUCUUGGGUUCUUCACUCCGUAUGUACUCGUCAGGAGAGGGAGGCUAGUACAACUGUAAAACAAAAAUAAACCCCUACAACUGUACGCAGUAUGUAACAAUACUUCUGAAAUAUUUCCCGGAGAAUCAGUUUUUAAUUACUGUUGUAAAAUUAACAGUCUGUGUUAACCUGCUGGAUAGGUAUACUUUGUAUUGGGGACCAACAUGUUAAAAAUGACAUACAUUAUAUAUUUAUACCUGCAAAACACAUUAUAUACAGUAAAUCAUUUCACUUUGACAUUUUAGUUUACAUAACUGAAAAAAGUUAUUUUCAAGAUUACAAAAGGAAUCGUUUAGUUCUUAAAGCUUUUAUUUUUAUCUGUUAAUGAUGUCCGAUGGAAAAAAGUUCAUCUGAUCAAGAAACGCAUUUUAUGUAACAUUUUGAGAAUUUCUCAAAAAGUUCUUUCCUAAAGAAAGAGGAAUGCUUUGUUUUCUAUGUUGCAUGAUGGGAUGGUAGAGGGCUACUUGUGAUAAUUUUUUAUACUCAGAAUUACUUGUGACGGAGGGAGAAUCAAAGACUUGUGGGAAAGGAUUGUAAUAUUGUACAGGUUUUUUAAAGAAAAGGUGGAAGUAUUGGUUAUUUUAAUGUUUUUAAUAAACAUCUUGAGGCUAC